rnacentral:lncRNA from 1 species
AAAAGUUACUUUUGAAAUCAAUUUCCACAUUUACAGCAAAACUGUCCACUCGCGCAGCAGUUACUAAAUCAUUUAUAACUUGAGCUACGGAACUCGAAAUCUAAAUCCGUAAAUUUUCCCUGAAACUAGACUCAUAUAUAUUUUUAUCAUAAAUUUUCAGAAUUUUUCAUUCAUCCAAUUAGUACAGUUUAUUAGUUAAAGUCUCCCCUGUUACACUAAUCGAUUGCCCUAAUCUCUUGCCACUAAAAAUAAAAUUUAUCAUUAUGGGAUUUUCAUAUGGUGUUACCACUUGUUUCUAC